GGUCGUGUCUGCAUUGGAUCCCCACCCCUGAAGCCCAAGGUAACGCUACCCUGUUUCUAGCUAAGUUUUUUGGCCGCAGUGAUCUCAUCUCUCUCAUCUCCGCCGUUCCCGAGUCCCAACGCCCUGGUAUGUAUAAACGUAUAAACACACAACAAACCGUAUAUACAUAGUUAUACAUGUAGAAGAGUACAAAUUAAUUUUACCUUUUCUUUUUGUAGUUUUGUUUCAAUCGCUGUUAUUUGAGGCGUGCGGGAGAACAGUGAAUCCGGUGAACGGAGCGGUGGGGCUGUUGUGGAGCGGUAACUGGCACGUGUGUCAGGCGGCUGUGGAGUCAGUGCUUGCCGGUGAAACCUUACGGCCGUUACCUGGAAUUCUCACCGGAGUCUUAGCGCCGAAUUGUGAUGAAUCAUCUGACAGUUUCUCUGCGGCUGCGUACGCCGUGCAUAGCAUGACGUGGAAUCAAUCAAAACCGUUUGAUAAGGAGAAUAAUAAUCAAGUGGUGUCUGAUCAUCAUGUGAAUCUGUGUCUCGCUAGAGGAAGAGGUGGAAGAGAUAAGAGAGGAAGAGAUGCGGUGUCGUUUUAUACAGGAGGAGAAUCGGAGACCACAAGCUUUGAAAGCAGUGGUGCUGAUAAGAAUAAACUUUUGAACCUGUUUGUUUGAAUAAAUAAUAAAUUUAAGACAGAGAGUAAAGGUUUUGCUGUAACCUCUUUUUUUCCUCUAUAAAUAUAAUGCCGGAAUUUUAAUCCGGUGCGUUUUUGGCUGGAUAU
rnacentral:lncRNA from 1 species